UUAAUUGAAACCAAAUUAGAGGUCUAUCACUGUUAAUGAUAAAAAUGAGUUUUCUCCAAUUAAAG
rnacentral:tRNA from 1 species